GGAGGGAUGCGAGAGUGGUUUAAUCGAACGGUCUUGAAAACCGUCGUCCGCAAGUCGGACCGUGGGUUCGAAUCCCACUCCCUCCGCCA
rnacentral:tRNA from 1 species